UACGUAGGGGGCUAGCGUUAUCCGGAAUCAUUGGGCGUAAAGGGUGCGUAGGUGGCGCUGUAAGUGGGGUGUGAAAUCCCGGGGCUUAACCCCGGGACUGCAUUCCAUACUGCGGUGCUUGAGGACUGGAGAGGAGACUGGAAUUUACGGUGUAGCAGUGAAAUGCGUAGAGAUCGUAAGGAAGACCAGUGGCGAAGGCGGGUCUCUGGACAGUUCCUGACACUGAGGCACGAAGGCCAGGGGAGCAAACGGG
rnacentral:rRNA from 1 species